rnacentral:rRNA from 1 species
UCAAUCUCGUGCGGCUAUAUAUACCGCCGGUCCCUCUAAGAAGAUUUUCAUUGUACGCCGGUAGUGAAGACCGCGAAACGCCCGAUCGCGACGCGUGAACGCCGCGGGACGAGCGCACGCGGACCCUCGUGAUACCGGUUGCACGUCUAUUUAAUAGGCUAGAGUUACGUUCGUUAC